rnacentral:snRNA from 1 species
CUAUGGCAAAAAAGAAUA